CUCAAUGAAUUAAUUCAAUAGCCGCAAUUUACUUGUGCUAAGGUAGCAUAAUCACUUGUCUUCUAAUUAAAGACUAGAACGAAAGAUUUAACAAUUUAAUUACUAUCUACAAUAUAAUAAUUAUAAUCUAUCCUAAAUAUAAAAAGAUAUUUAUAAAUAAAAAAGACGAUAAGACCCUAUUGAACUUAACUUAAGUUUAACUGGGGUAGUUAAUUAAAUAAAAUUUUAAUUUAAAUUUCUAAAAAAAGAUCUAAUAUAAUUAAUUACAUGAUCAAGUUACCAUAGGGAUAACAGCGUAAUAAAUUCUUAAAGAUCUUAUUAAAGAAAAAGAUUACGACCUCGAUGUUGAAUUAAUAACCUAAUAAAUGCAAUAAUUUAAUAAAGGAAGUCUGUUCGACUU
rnacentral:rRNA from 1 species